GGAGUGAACGCUGGCGGUAGGCCUAACACAUGCAAGUCGAACGGCAGCACAGUAGGAGCUUGCUCUUACGGGCGGCGAGUGGCGGACGGGUGAGGAAUACAUCGGAAUCUACCUUUUGGUGGGGGAUAACGUAGGGAAACUUACGCUAAUACCGCAUACGCCCUUCGGGGGAAAGCCGGGGACCGAGCAAUGGCCUGGCGCUGAUAGAUGAGCCGAUGUCGGAUUAGCUAGUUGGUGAGGUAAUGGCUCACCAAGGCGACGAUCCGUAGCUGGUCUGAGAGGAUGAUCAGCCACACUGGAACUGAGACACGGUCCAGACUCCUACGGGAGGCAGCAGUGGGGAAUAUUAGGACAAUGGGCGCAAGCCUGAUCCAGCCAUACCGCGUGGUGAAGAAGGCCUUGGUUGUAAAGCCCUUUUGUAGGAAAGAAAGCAUUCGGUUAAGUACCGGUGUUCUGACGUACCCAAGAAUAAGACACCGGUACUAACGUUCGACGUCAGCAGCCG
rnacentral:rRNA from 1 species